rnacentral:rRNA from 1 species
UUAUGAAUAAGGAUCGGCUAACUCCGUGCCAGCAGCCGCGGUAAUACGGAGGAUCCGAGCGUUAUCCGGAUUUAUUGGGUUUAAAGGGAGCGUAGAUGGAUGUUUAAGUCAGUUGUGAAAGUUUGCGGCUCAACCGUAAAAUUGCAGUUGAUACUGGAUAUCUUGAGUGCAGUUGAGGCAGGCGGAAUUCGUGGUGUAGCGGUGAAAUGCUUAGAUAUCACGAAGAACUCCGAUUGCGAAGGCAGCCUGCUAAGCUGCAACUGACAUUGAGGCUCGAAAGUGUGGGUAUCAAACAGGAUUAGAUACCCUGGUAGUCCACACGGUAAACGAUGAAUACUCGCUGUUUGCGAUAUACAGCAAGCGGCCAAGCGAAAGCGUUAAGUAUUCCACCUGGGGAGUACGCCGGCAACGGUGAAACUCAAAGGAAUUGACGGGGGCCCGCACAAGCGGAGGAACAUGUGGUUUAAUUCGAUGAUACGCGAGGAACCUUACCCGGGCUUAAAUUGCAGAUGAAUUACGGUGAAAGCCGUAAGCCGCAAGGCAUCUGUGAAGGUGCUGCAUGGUUGUCGUCAGCUCGUGCCGUGAGGUGUCGGCUUAAGUGCCAUAACGAGCGCAACCCUUGUUGUCAGUUACUAACAGGUUCCGCUGAGGACUCUGACAAGACUGCCAUCGUAAGAUGUGAGGAAGGUGGGGAUGACGUCAAAUCAGCACGGCCCUUACGUCCGGGGCUACACACGUGUUACAAUGGGGGGUACAGAAGGCAGCUACACGGCGACGUGGUGCUAAUCCCAAAAGCCUCUCUCAGUUCGGAUUGGAGUCUGCAACCCGACUCCAUGAAGCUGGAUUCGCUAGUAAUCGCGCAUCAGCCACGGCGCGGUGAAUACGUUCCCGGGCCUUGUACACACCGCCCGUCAAGCCAUGGGAGCCGGGGGUACCUGAAGUGCGUAACCGCGAGGAGCGCCCUAGGGUAAAACUGGUGACUGGGGCUAAGUCGUAACAAGGUAGCCGUACCGGAAGGUGCGGCUG